UCACUGAAACAGAGCAGCGAUGGCACAAGCCAAGAACCAUGGGUGUGAAACCAGGCAGAGUGAGUGACAUGGUGUUCAUUUCCACUAAGCCAAAGCAGUUUACAGUUGCUGACGGUGUAAGGAGUACACGUUACAAGGCCGUGCAGGGGGAGCUGCCAGACCCAGAUGUCCUCAAAGUCAGCGAGGUAUACAAGGACUUCUCAG